rnacentral:lncRNA from 1 species
UGGCAGGAUUUACUUUUUUGACCAAAUGAGAAACAGGUGUACAUGAGCUGGAUCAGGGCGAAGUGGGACCCAGGGGAAGGAAAGGAGAGACAGGAGGGACAGGUGACGUAGGCCACAGGGGACCUGAAGGAAAGAAAGGGGACACGGGCCACAUAGGUGCUGUUGGCUCCAGGGGAUUUACUGGUCAGGACGGUUUGCCGGGCCAACCAGGCCAACCAGGAUAUCCAGGGAAACCUGUGAGUGAACUUCCUCCUGACCACCUCCUCUAAGCAGAUAAAAAACAGAAAA